UGCGGAGCAGAGGAGGGGAUUUGUGCUAAAGGAAACAGCAGCAGUGCUGGGGAGGCAUGAAAGGGUCCAGGAUCGGGAAAAGCGACAUUACCUGUUGAUUCUUGGGCAAGGCCCAGAAUUUGGUGGACAUACUUAAAGAAGAAAGGAAUCUUCAGCUAAAGUGUCUACGAUCAAUUCAGAUUUGGAGGGCAUGGAUCUUCUGACAGUAGGGGCCAUUCUAGGAUUUUUUGGUUGAAGAGAUGAACUUCAACUUGGUUCCAGAUGGGUGGUCCAGCUAUUCUGCUGACAACAUUUUUCAGGGCAAGGCUUUUGCUACUGGAAUGAUUUAAGGAAGAUCCCUCAGUGUUUCAGAGUAAAGAUAUUUCUAAAGAAGUACCUGUGUCAUUGCCCAUCUUGAAGAUUGACUUUUAUGGAUUGCUCAAAUACUGAUAUCAGCUCAAUGUCAAUAUAUACUCCUACAUAUAAAAUCCAUCUUCUAAUCAUAAUCACUAGGUAAGAUGCUAGUGCAAGUUGAAGUUCUUAAAGGAGAUGACCUGAACAGCCUUCUUAGUGUACCAGGGAGACCAGAUUGAGUUUAAACUAUGUUUACCCUGCACUCAGACACGCCUAGGUGUGUCUGGGAGAUUAGUAGAUGGUGUUCAACAAGGAUCUAUUUAAACAAGGGAGACAUUAAUUUGGAUUCCUUUGGUUGUAAAUUUCCAAAAAAAAAAAAAAGGUCUAAGUUAAAAUGUUUAAGGAGGAUGGGGGAAGAAUGUGAUGACUGUUAUAGUUAAUGUGAGCUUUAGGCUUGGCCGGAUCCAGGUACUAAAACAAUGUUAUUAGAUAAUAAAUCUAAUUAAAUAUAAUCUAAAUUUCCAUCUCGACUCUGCUUAACCCUGUUGGACUGCAAGUUAAUGGUAAAAUGAGCAUCCAUCACAUUCACCAUUCCACUUG
rnacentral:lncRNA from 1 species